AAGUCGUAACAAGGUUUCCGUAGGUGAACCUGCGGAAGGAUCAUUACAAAUCCAUCACGUCUCUCACCCGAGACAUCGUCUAAAUGUUCCUGGGAUCAUCAGCGAGUGCUGCUUUUCUAGCUCACUCGUCGAUACCCAACCCCCCUUUAUUAAACAAAAGUGUCAUUGUUACUUCAUAUGUAUUGUUAACACAACACAUACGAAAACAACUUAUAACAAUGGAUCUCUAGGCUCUU
rnacentral:misc_RNA from 1 species